GAGGGGUGGUAGGGUUAGGGGAGAGGUGGUAGGGUUAGGGGAGAGGUGGUAGGGUUAGGGGAGAGGUGGUAGGGUUAGGGGAGAGGUGGUAGGGUUAGGGGAGGGGUGGUAGGGUUAGGGGAGAGGUGGUAGGGUUAGGGGAGAGGUGGUAGGGUUAGGGGAGAGGUGGUAGGGUUAGGGGAGAGGUGGUAGGGUUAGGGGAGAGGUGGUAGGGUUAGGGGAGAGGUGGUAGGGUUAGGGGAGAGGUGGUAGGGUUAGGGGAGAGGUGGUAGGGUUAGGGGAGAGGUGGUAGGGUUAGGGGAGGGGUGGUAGGGUUAGGGGAGAGGUGGUAGGGUUAGGGGAGAGGUGGUAGGGUUAGGGGAGGGGUGGUAGGGUUAGGGGAGAGGUGGUAGGGUUAGGGGAGAGGUGGUAGGGUUAGGGGAGAGGUGGUAGGGUUAGG